AGAGUUUGAUUAUGGCUCAGGAUGAACGCUAGCUACAGGCUUAACACAUGCAAGUCGAGGGGCAGCAUUGGAGUAGCAAUACUCAGAUGGCGACCGGCGCACGGGUGAGUAACACGUAUCCAACCUGCCGCUUACUCGGGGAUAGCCUUUCGAAAGAAAGAUUAAGUACCCGAUGGUAUAAAGAGUUCGCAUGUUCUCUUUAUUAAAGAAUUUCGGUAAGCGAUGGGGAUGCGUUCCAUUAGAUAGUUGGCGGGUAACGGCCCACCAAGUCUACGAUGGAUAGGGGUCCUGAGAGGAAGGUCCCCCACAUUGGAACUGAGACACGGUCCAAACUCCUACGGGAGGCAGCAGUGAGGAAUAUUGGUCAAUGGACGAGAGUCUGAACCAGCCAAAGUAGCGUGAAGGAUGACUGCCCUAUGGGUUGUAAACUUCUUUUAUAAGGGAAUAAAGUGAGGGACGUGUCCCUUUUUGUAUGUACCUUAUGAAUAAGGAUCGGCUAACUCCGUGCCAGCCGCCGC
rnacentral:rRNA from 1 species